UACGUAGGGGGCAAGCGUUGUCCGGAAUCAUUGGGCGUAAAGCGCGUGUAGGCGGCUGAGUAAGUCUGCUCUGAAAGCCCGGGGCUCAACCCCGGGAGGCGGGUGGAUACUGCUCAGCUCGAGUCCGGAAGAGGAGUGUGGAAUUCCUGGUGUAGCGGUGAAAUGCGCAGAUAUCAGGAGGAACACCAAUGGCGAAGGCAGCACUCUGGGACGGUACUGGAGCUGAGACGCGAAAGUGUGGGGAGCGAACAGG
rnacentral:rRNA from 1 species